AAGUCGUAACAAGGUUUCCGUAGGUGAACCUGCGGAAGGAUCAUUAUCGAAUUUAAAGCUUGGUUGAGCUGUCGCUUCGGCGUACGUGCUCGCCUCGCCGUCCAUUCUCAACACCUGUGCACACUCAAGUUCUCUUCUCGACGGCUACUAUCGCGUCUACUUCAUCGUGGAUGUGAGAAACAGCUGGAAAGGAAGGGAGCUGCCUUUUAACACACCCUUCUUUUAAAAUGUCCAUGAACGUCAAAUGUAGGCUCGCCUUAAAAACGUGAUGCUGAAAUUAAAAUUAAUACAACUUUUAACAACGGAUCUCUUGGCUCUCGCAUCGAUGAAGAACGCAGCGAAAUGCGAUAAGUAAUGUGAAUUGCAGAAUUCAGUGAAUCAUCGAAUCUUUGAACGCACCUUGCGCUCCUUGGUAUUCCGAGGAGCAUGCCUGUUUGAGUGUCAUUAAAUUCUCAACCUCAUAACGUUUUCGGACGGUCCUUGAGGCUUGGACUUUGGAGCGUGUCGGCCUUCUGAUCAGGUUGACUCCUCUUUAAAUGCAUUAGCUGGAACCUCUUGUGGACCAGACUACGGUGUGAUAAUUAUCUACGCUGUGGCCUUGUGAAGCACUUUGUCAUGGGGUUCUGCUUCUAACCGUCCCUUACACGGACAACAAUCUUAAUUGACAUUUUGACCUCAAAUCAGGUAGGACUACCCGCUGAACUUAAGCAUAUCAAUAAGCGGAGGAAAAGAAACUGACAAGGAUUCCCCUAGUAACUGCGAGUGAAGCGGGAAAAGCUCAAAUUUAAAAUCUGGUGGUCCUUGCGGCCGUCCGAGUUGUAAUCUGGAGAAGUGUUUUCCGCGCUGGACCGUGUACAAGUCUCCUGGAACGGAGCGUCAUAGAGGGUGAGAAUCCCGUCUUUGACACGGACUACCAGUGCUUUUGUGAUACGCUCUCAACGAGUCGAGUUGUUUGGGAAUGCAGCUCAAAAUGGGUGGUAAAUUCCAUCUAAAGCUAAAUAUUGGCGAGAGACCGAUAGCGAACAAGUACCGUGAGGGAAAGAUGAAAAGAACUUUGGAAAGAGAGUUAAACAGUACGUGAAAUUGUUAAAAGGGAAACGCUUGAAGUCAGUCGCGUCGUCCGGGGAUCAACCUUGCAUUUAUGCUGGGCGUACUUUCCGGUUGACGGGUCAGCAUCAAUUUUGACCGUUGGAUAAAGUUCAGGGGAAUGUGGCAUCCUCGGAUGUGUUAUAGCCCUUGUUCGCAUACAACGAUUGGGAUUGAGGAACUCAGCACGCCUUUAUGGUCGGGGUUUACCCACGUAACGUGCUUAGGAUGCUGGCAUAAUGGCUUUAAUCGACC
rnacentral:rRNA from 1 species